UUUUUGUGUGUGCAUUCGANGCUCGUAUGUGCAAUUGUCAAUUCAUGGUGGGGACAGACCAUUGUUAAUUGUUGGUCUCGGUCUUAACUAGGAAUGCCUUGUACGGGUCUUUGGUUCAACAAACCACCCGGAAUACGUCCCUGCCCUUUGUACACACCGCCCGUCGCUCUUACCGAUGGACUUCUCUGUGAGUUUGAGGGACUGGAUUUUAUAUCUAUGGAAACUCAAACGAA
rnacentral:rRNA from 1 species